ensembl:snRNA U6 U6 spliceosomal RNA
GGGCUCGCGUCAGCAGCACAUAUGCUAAAAUUGGAACGAUACAGAGAAGAUUAGUGACAUUAAACAUUUAUGUAAAAGAAAACCCAACAGUGACCAACCAUUUUU